rnacentral:tRNA from 1 species
GGGCCGCGAGCAUGACGGUGAAUGCUGCGGGCUCUUACCCCGUAGACCGAGGUUCGACUCCUCGGCGGCCCA